UCCAGACUCCUACGGGAGGCAGCAGUGGGGAAUAUUGCACAAUGGGGGAAACCCUGAUGCAGCGACGCCGCGUGAGUGAAGAAGUAUUUCGGUAUGUAAAGCUCUAUCAGCAGGGAAGAAAAUGACGGUACCUGACUAAGAAGCCCCGGCUAACUACGUGCCAGCAGCCGCGGUAAUACGUAGGUGGCAAGCGUUGUCCGGAUUUACUGGGUGUAAAGGGCGUGUAGCCGGGCUGACAAGUCAGAUGUGAAAUUCCGGGGCUCAACCCCGGACCUGCAUUUGAAACUGUUGGUCUUGAGUAUCGGAGAGGCAGGCGGAAUUCCUAGUGUAGCGGUGAAAUGCGUAGAUAUUAGGAGGAACACCGGCGGCGAAGGCGGCCUGCUGGACCGCGACUGACGUUGAGGCUCGAAAGCGUGGGGAGCGAACAGGAUUAGAUACCCCAGUAC
rnacentral:rRNA from 1 species